GCGGUUCAGAAACUCUUAUGGCCACCAGCUGCUGUUUGCUCCCGGAGAGGAUUUAAAAGCAGAACAACCCCAUCCCAAAAUAAUGACCGUAGGUAAAACCCCCUAGAACAGAUUAAAUAGGUAAAACGCGCCACAGCAGCGCUCUCUGGGCUGCAGUAAGUUGUGCCAGGAUGCUUUCUGCAGGCAGCCCUCCAGCCACGCUCUACGCCUCGAGGAGGGCUUUCCUCUGCCCUUGGCUGCCCACCGCGCAAGGCGGAGGGCUCGCAGCUUUGCCCUCUGCUCCCCCACGACGCCCGGAGCCUUCGCAAGAUACGAGGCCGGGCUGCGGGCUGUCCGUGGGGCAGGGGCUGCGCCCGGCGCCGGGAGGUGCCUGUCCCGAGCUGGUACCCCGGGCACAGCCCAGCACACGGCAGUGUUUACCUAUGACUCAGGGCUAGGCGAAGGAUGCAAAGACUUCGCAAGGAAGCUUUUCUGCCAUCUUUGGUUGAAAUCUAAGCCAGAAGUUGAAGAUCAGUCUCUAGCCAACAACACAUCUUCUGAGAACAAAUGAUUGUUGUCCUCAUUCGACAAAGUAAUAAUGAGAAAAAUAGGACCAGAGGCAGCGAUGAGUAUGGCUCUGUGUCUUUGUGUCAGGCACUAGAGGAAGAAAUUUAACACCAGGGUGAGUGCUGUAAGUCUGGGAUAUUCUGUGGAGAUGGGCGCUAAAGUCAUUGCUAUGGCAAACCUCAGCCCCGAGCACCCCCAGGUUCUGGUGUGCUUCCAACUCUGCAGGGAAGGGAACUGAGAAAGGAGUGGCCCCUCUUUCCUACUGCACCCAGAGCGAGCAGAUCCCUGAGGAUGGAUAGGAAUUCCCCCCCAGGGGAGCCUAAUCCUGGCAUACUUGCCUGCAGAGCUCCCUGCAGUGCUGGGUCACAGUCCCUGAGCAAACACAGACUCACAGCCCACGGCUGGUGCCAAGCACUCCUAUCCAGGCGGGGCUGAUACACUUGCACUAAUCCCAGAGUUAGCACACAAGGCACUGCUGAGCCCACAUGUGGAAUCUACAAGCUUUAGGUGCCUAGAAACUUAAAACCUUGUGCACGACAAUCACUUGGGCAAUUUUUAUAAUACCACUCCUAAAUAUUUGGCUAACUGGACCCACUUGGGGUGUAUUGCAGACUUCACUGAGACACCUUAUCUCUAAAAUAAAUUGUGAGAUCGAGGCAUUAGCUGAGAAGGGGUGGGAUCACUUCUCCACAUAGAGACCACACAGUGUCUCUUUCCCAUGUCACCAUUGCUUGGGACUGCUUUUCAUACCAUGUGUUUCUUUCUGGUGCUAAGUCCCACAGGUAAAACAUAAAAUCAUUAAGGUUGGAGAAGCCACCAAGCUCAUCCACUCCAACCACCAAACCAUCCCUAUCCUGCCCACUGACCGUGUUCCUCAGGGAGCAACUCGGGAGUGCAAGCUUAGGGCAUUGUGGAAGCAACAGUGGAUGCAGCUGGAUUACAAUUUCCAUGGAAGAAAAAGAAGAAAGAAAUGUAGAGCUCCAGUAAUGAUUUUCUUCCUAUGGAGGCCACCUUCUACACUUUUUUUUUGUCUCAUUUUAAUAAUCUAUAUCAGUGUUGUUUUUUAGCUGAUUUUAAUGUCAACUAGGGAUUAAUGUGCAUUAAUUAAAUUGACUGUAUUUUCUUUAAUGAGCACAAAAGGAUUUUAUGUUAAUACUGAUGAUCCUAAUAAGGAUUCUCUCUGCUUAUCUGUAUUUUCUUAACAUCCUGAAAUAUUUUAUUAGGAAACAAAUUAAUUUAGUUACUAUCACGGGGUAAAAACAGAAGCUAUCAGGUGACUGCCAACUGGGUCUGGCGUUAGCAAGCUAUGCGACAAUUAAGCUAUAAGAACUGCUUUUAGCUGCAGAACUGUUCACUGCAAUGCAUUAUUUUGAACAGUUUAUGCCUUUUUUAUUUCUUGUUUGGCAUUGGCUGACUCUUACCUGGAUUUGAAGCUACUGUUAAACAAGAACACAAGUAAUAUUAAAGGAGAUGCUGUCAGUGAGACCUGGGCUAAGAUCCAUGCCUGUUCCUUGCUAGAAACCAGAAAGGAUGAGGAAUAGAAAGGAUGAGCUGGGAGCAGAUGCUGCAGUGAUCCCAAUAGGUAGACAGGUAGUUUUGCUUGUCCCUCUUUCAGCUGUGCAGAUUGACGAUGCAAAUUAGUUUCUAAAUAGUCAAAAACCUUAUAAUAACGCUUCUCCACAACAAAUGAAAGAAAUACAUUUAUUUGCAUGCGUUAAUAUAUGUGUCAAUAUAUAUUUAUACAUUCACAGCUGUCGCGGGCUUGAAAGACACUUGACUUGCUGAGCAAGCAUUUAAUAAAAAGCCCAUGGAAAUGUUAAUUAAUGGUAUUUGGUACU